CCCUUAGAUGUUCUGGGCCGCACGCGCGCUACACUGACACGUUCAUCAAGUCUAUAACCUUGACCGAGAGGUCUGGGUAAUCUUUUAAAAACGUGUCGUGCUGGGGAUAGAUUAUUGCAAUUAUUAAUCUUCAACGAGGAAUUCCUAGUAAACGCAAGUCAUCAACUUGCAUUGAUUACGUCCCUGCCCUUUGUACACACCGCCCGUCGCUACUACCGAUUGAAUGAUUUAGUGAGUACCAGGGACCGAGCGCUUUGGUUGGGCUUCCUUCCCUAGCGCUUGGGAACUGUCGCAAACUUGACCAUUUAGAGGAAGUAAAAGUCGUAACA
rnacentral:rRNA from 1 species